rnacentral:rRNA from 1 species
CUUGGUCAUUUAGAGGAAGUAAAAGUCGUAACAAGGUUUCCGUAGGUGAACCUGCGGAAGGAUCAUUAUCGUAGGGCUUCGGCCCUGUCGAGAUAGAACCCUUGCCUUUUUGAGUACCUUUCGUUUCCUCGGCAGGCUCGCCUGCCAAUGGGGACCCCCAAAAAACACUUUGCAGUACCUGUAACAGUCUGAACAAAACUUAAAAAUUAAAACUUUCAACAACGGAUCUCUUGGUUCUGGCAUCGAUGAAGAACGCAGCGAAAUGCGAUAAGUAGUGUGAAUUGCAGAAUUCAGUGAAUCAUCGAAUCUUUGAACGCACAUUGCGCCCUUUGGUAUUCCUUAGGGCAUGCCUGUUCGAGCGUCAUUUAAACCUUCAAGCUCAGCUUGGUGUUGGGUGACUGUCCGCCGCCUCCGGGCGGUCGGACUCGCCUCAAAUUGAUUGGCGGCCGGUACUUUGGCUUCGAGCGCAGCAGAAACGCGAACUCGAGGCCGUCGUCCUGGCUCCCAGAAGCUAUCUUCACAAUUUUGACCUCGGAUCAGGUAGGGAUACCCGCUGAACUUAAGCAUAUCAAUAAGCGGAGGA